UGUGCUAAGAGAGAUGAUUAUAUAUAAUCCACAUCCUGUCAUUCCAUUUAUCUUUGCCAUUUAUGAAAAUAAACACUUUGUAUAUUUUAAUUAUUGUAUCUUUCCCUAUGGUCUGCCUGUUUCCGAUUCAAAUGGGUCACCCAGCACAUUACACACUCAUUCAUGCAUAGAACAUUUAAUAAAUAGAAAACCUGGUGAACCAAAAAAAAAAU